rnacentral:rRNA from 2 species
CAUUUGCCUUUUGUGAUACGCUUUCAAAGAGUCAGGUUGUUUGGGAAUGCAGCCUAAAUUGGGUGGUAAAUCUCACCUAAAGCUAAAUAUUGGCGAGAAACCGAUAGCGAACAAGUACCGUGAGGGAAAGAUGAAAAGAACUUUGAAAAGAGAGUUAAACAGUAUGUGAAAUUGUUAAAAGGGAACCGUUUGGAGCCAGACUGGCUUGUCUGUAAUCAAUCUAGGCUUCGGCCUGGAUGCACUUGCAGGCUAUGCCUGCCAACGACAAUUUGACUUGAGGGAAAAAACUAAGGGAAAUGUGGCCCACUUGUGGGUGUUAUAGUCCCUUAGAAAAUACCUUGGGUUGGAUUGAGGAACGCAGCGAAUGCUUUUUGGCGAGUUUUCCAGGAAGGUUUUCUGAGGUACUACGGUAUCAAGGUUGAUCUUUUUGGUUAUACUUCUAUUCGCU